rnacentral:rRNA from 1 species
CACGUAGUUGGCCGGACCUUCUUCUGCAGGUACCGUCAUUUUCGUUCCUGCUGAAAGGGGUUUACAACCCGAGGGCCUUCAUCCCCCACGCGGCGUUGCUGCGUCAGGCUUUCGCCCAUUGCGCAAGAUUCCCUACUGCUGCCUCCCGUAGGAGUCUGGGCCGUGUCUCAGUCCCAGUGUGGCUGGUCGUCCUCUCAGACCAGCUACCCGUCGACGCCUUGGUAGGCCGUUACCCCACCAACUAGCUGAUAGGCCGCGAGGCCCUCCCGGUCCGCAAAAGCUUUCCUCGGUCGACGAUGUCGUCAUCCGAGCCCAUCUGGUAUUAGCAGCGGUUUCCCGCUGUUAUCCCAGAGAUCGGGGCAGGUUCCUCACGUGUUACUCACCCGUUCGCCACUAGGUCUUCACGAGUGUUGCCACUCGAUGGACCCCGUUCGACUUGCAUGUAUGAAGCACGCCGCCAGCGUCGUCUCGUAGCACGGACGUCAACUACU